AGGAUCCACCCCUUCCUAGACCUCAUUUAAGGGUUGGCAGGGGAGGCAAGAAUGUCUUGCUUGAGAUUCCUGUCUACCUGAGGCCUUCUAAGGCCUAGGUGAAGGGCAUAUAGCCUGGAGUCUCCUUGCAGGUGUUGUGAUACAUAUGUGGUACACUUGGGACAGGCUCUCUUAUGGCUACCUUCAAGGGGAAAAAAAACUGCAAAGAUAGGAUGAAGAUAAUGGUAGCAAAAGCAAGGGUGCCUGAUGCUGUUCUUUAGUGUGAAAUACGGCAGUGGACCAAUUUUUUAAUGAAAUGCAUUUUGUCUUGAGAGAUCACCCAGCCUCAGCAUCCAGACUUUGUUGCUCCAACUAGACAAGUCUCAGGUCACACCCCAAGGAGUGGGAGACACCCAAGCCACAGGAUUGACACACAGAAGUGACCUGACUCCCCAUCAGAAUGUUGCAGUUUCACUGCCAUUGAUUGACAAAGGCAGCAUUCUUUAAUCUAGGGGAAAAGAACAUGCAUAUAUGUAUCAGCCCAGGUAUUGCUUGGCUGUACCCAGUCAAAUCUGAGUAAUGCUGUGAGUCUGAGCCCC
ensembl:lncRNA